GGGGUGUGGCCUUUCUGGGACGUGCGGCGUGUCUCGUUCUGCGCCUCUGCCUUCCUCGUGUGAGCCGUGCCCGCUUAGGCUGACUCGAGUGGGAGGAGGGCCAUGUUUGGGCUCAGAGGGGCAGCCUCGUUCUAGUGUAGCGCCUCUAUCUGGGUGAGGUACAGGAGGCGUUUUGUCUUGGCUUGUAGCUGUGCGUAGGCAUGAGGACCUAUAGGUGCAGGUUCCUAUUCCUCACAGGCAGUAGGUUGUGCAAGAGCCUUCCGCCUUGUCCUGGGCAAAUGGGCUGAAGUGACAAGGGAGGGUGUGCCGUCAGUACAGAGCUGAAUGAAAAGUACAGCAGUGUGAAAAUAUCUUUUCUUAUUGAGAAUGUCCUCCUCAGACCAUUAUUAGCCAACAAAAACAACGCAUUCGAACUGCUAGGAAGCUUGUGCUGUUCCAUAAACAUCUACAUCUUUAUCUACCAACAGUUGUAGCUGAUGACAUGUUCAGAAGUUAAAAUGUAAAGAGGAAUUAAUGUGAGCCUCUUAACGUACGUUGCUUAGUGUGUUAAAAAACUCAAGUGUCAGUGGAUCCUGCAGAGGUGCCAUGGCCCCAUAGCUGAGCUCUGACACCUCACAAAACAGGCAUUACGAAUGGGAGUGAUUAUUCAGUUACGGAAUGCCAGCAGAAGAUAAAGAAUAAUAGAAACUGUUUGCUUUGAAAAGUAAUUUGCUGGUGUGCUUACUCCUCACUUAUCAGCUGAGAUUUAUGAACUGCCAGGAAGCCCCUUAGAUUACUGCUUGUAAUUCGCUGCUUUUAGUGGUAUGGGUAUUCCAAUUUUGUUUAAUUUUCAAGCACUUUGAGAACUGCCUGAUAAAAUUUGCACAUAUAUCAGAUUUGAUGCAUACACCAUGAAGUCCUUUUGUGUUGCAAAAGUCUAGAAGGUUCCCACCAGUGAAAGGGGCACUUGCAGUGUGCGCUUCCAUGUGAACCCAAAGGUAUACAUACAUACAGCAGCUCAACCUGAAUGGCGGUCAAUUCAUUUAUCGGCUACAAAAUAAAUUAUUGCAAUAGCCUUGGCUCAUUGGGCCUUCUCCUGGUUCUAGGCAGAGGUAGAAAAUGGUUUCCUGAGAGCGUCCCUUCUUUUGUUUAAAAUAUUAGAUUUGGAUCAAAUUGACCCCCAGCCUUUUCAUUCACUAAUUAACUUUGGAACAACCAUUAAACCUCAUUAACCGGGACACUGAUUCUUCUGUUUGUUGUACCUGCCAUGAUGAAGAUGAACCCUCUGUGUUUUGCCUGGAGCUCGGUUAAUUUAGUUUACUAUCAUUUCAAAUUGCCUAAAACAAAAAGGCAAAUAUUUCUGGAAAACUGAAAUUAACAUUUCAAAAGCAAGAACCUCCAAAUAGUCCUGGGGAAUUGACCACAUCCAUGUAACUCUCCAUGCUGAGCUGAGUUUAAGUGUAUCAAAUACCACACUACAGAAUAUCUUCACACUGCUGCAGAAUCUUUUUGGAAGACAUCCAGCUUUCUCCUCGGCUUUCUGCUGGUGCUGCACACUGCCCUCCCCUCACAUCCGUUCCUUUGGCCAUCAACACUCCUCUGGUCCUCAGAAGGUCGCAGGUGCAGUUCCAAGGGUUUCCAUCUAAAUAGAGAUGCCGGAGACGAGGUAAAUACUCUAAAACUUUGCGAUCCAAGGCGGAUAUCUUGUUGUUCCUUAAAUUUAAAACCUGAAGCUGUUUCAAGUCCUUUAGUUCUUGUUCUCCAACAUCUUCUAUGUCAUUUCCCUUUAGAUCCAAUCUAGCAAGGGUAUCCGGAAGUCUGAAUAAAAAUAAAACAACACAAAUCUGUUAUAUUCAUUAUACUGAUUCUCUUUGUGCCCAGGCAUAUCUAGCAUAUUAAAUAAAACUAUCACUGACAAAAAGGUAGUCUUCUGGAGGGAAAAAUUCUGGUCCUGAAAUGUUCCUAUCCUUUAUUUAUUUAUUUAAUUUGAAGUUGUUGGAAUACCGUCUAUGCACGUUUGAAUGGUUUUCCCAAAUUAUUGCAGUUCUGACCUAUACUAACCUGCUUUACUCUGUAGUAAAUUGCAUAUUCAGUUGAGUGCCAAGAACACUUAAAAAUGUUUUUUGUACUAUUUAAUGCCAUAAACAUGCCAAUGAUCAAACAAUAGCAACAUGAAAGGCCAGGAGUUUUGAAAAGCAUGGCAACUCUACUCCCUCAAGUACUUCUGUGUAUGGUUUGUUUUUAAAAGUUUUUUAGUUCAUAACUAAGUAGAGUUUUUCUUCUUUUUUUUUCCCCUAUUUUUUGUUCUCUUGCUGCCAGCAGAUUCAAAACUUAAUUAAUUUGAAAGUACUCCAUCUGAUAAUAAACUUCAUACUUAAAAGCCCAGCGACAAGGAGAAUAUAAAUGCUUUUUAUGGUCUUUUGAAAUAGUACUUUUGAGAAUUAUAACUGAUUGUAUUUAAAAGAAUAAAAAAAGCCAAUAUCUUGAGA